rnacentral:tRNA from 1 species
GGUGGUGAGACUUAGUGGUAGAGUGCUUGCUUAACGUGCAUGAAGCCCUAGGUUUGAUUCCUCAGUACCG